rfam:Schistosoma mattheei strain Denwood, Zambia genome assembly, scaffold: SMTD_scaffold0000694
AUCCAUCAGACAAGUCCCAAAUAGAACCAAAUGCGCAUCCUGGAU